UCGGGAAUUUUGGGCAAUGGGCGCAAGCCUGAUCCAGCCAUGCCGCGUGAGUGACGAAGGUCUUCGGAUUGUAAAGCUCUUUUGGCGGGGACGAUAAUGACGGUACCCGCAGAAUAAGCCCCGGCUAACUUCGUGCCAGCAGCCGCGGUAAUACGAAGGGGGCUAGCGUUGUUCGGAAUUACUGGGCGUAAAGCGCACGUAGGCGGACUGAUAAGUCAGGGGUGAAAUCCCGGGGCUCAACCUCGGAACUGCCUUUGAUACUGUUAGUCUCGAGUCCGGAAGAGGUGAGUGGAAUUCCUAGUGUAGAGGUGAAAUUCGUAGAUAUCAAGAGGAACACCUGAGGUGAAGACGGGUUGCUGGGCUGACACUGACGCUGAGGCGCGAAAGCCAGGGGAGCAAACGGGAUUAGAUACCCGUGUAGUCCCUGAGCGGGCUGGCAAGGCGCAU
rnacentral:rRNA from 1 species